GACGAACGCUGGCGGCGUGCUUAACACAUGCAAGUCGAACGGAAAGGCCCUGCUUUUGUGGGGUGCUCGAGUGGCGAACGGGUGAGUAACACGUGAGUAACCUGCCCUUGACUUUGGGAUAACUUCAGGAAACUGGGGCUAAUACCGGAUAGGAUCUCCUGCUGCAUGGUGGGGGUUGGAAAGUUUCGGCGGUUGGGGAUGGACUCGCGGCUUAUCAGCUUGUUGGUGGGGUAGUGGCUUACCAAGGCUUUGACGGGUAGCCGGCCUGAGAGGGUGACCGGCGACAUUGGGACUGAGAUACGGCCCAGACUGCUACGGGAGGCAGCAGUGGGGAAUAUUGCACAAUGGGCGGAAGCCUGAUGCAGCAACGCCGCGUGCGGGAUGACGGCCUUCGGGUUGUAAACCGCUUUCGCCUGUGACGAAGCGUGAGUGACGGUAAUGGGUAAAGAAGCACCGGCUAACUACGUG
rnacentral:rRNA from 1 species